GAUGAACGCUGGCGGCGUGCCUAAUACAUGCAAGUCGAGCGAACAGAUGGGGAGCUUGCUCCUCUGACGUUAGCGGCGGACGGGUGAGUAACACGUGGAUAACCUACCUAUAAGACUGGGAUAACUUCGGGAAACCGGAGCUAAUACCGGAUAAUAUAUUGAACCGCAUGGUUCAAUAGUGAAAGACGGUUUUGCUGUCACUUAUAGAUGGAUCCGCGCCGCAUUAGCUAGUUGGUAAGGUAACGGCCUACCAAGGCAACGAUGCGUAGCCGACCUGAGAGGGUGAUCGGCCACACUGGAACUGAGACACGGUCCAGACUCCUACGGGAGGCAGCAGUAGGGAAUCUUCCGCAAUGGGCGAAAGCCUGACGGAGCAACGCCGCGUGAGUGAUGAAGGUCUUCGGAUCGUAAAACUCUGUUAUUAGGGAAGAACAAAUGUGUAAGUAACUAUGCACGUCUUGACGGUACCUAAUCAGAAAGCCACGGCUAACUACGUG
rnacentral:rRNA from 1 species